UACGAAGGGGGGCUAGCGUUGCUCGGAAUCACUGGGCGUAAAGGGUGCGUAGGCGGCCAAGCAGGUCCUUGUGAAAACUGGAGGCUUAACCUCCAGACGUCGACGGAAACCGCGUGGCUAGAGUCCGGAAGAGGAGAGUGGAAUUCCUGGUGUAGCGGUGAAAAUGCGCAGAUAUCAGGAGGAACACCGGGUGGCGAAGGCGGCUCUCUGGACCACAACUGACGCUGAGGCGCGAAAAGCUAGGGGGAGCAAAACAGG
rnacentral:rRNA from 1 species